rnacentral:rRNA from 1 species
CCUACGGGAGGCAGCAGUGGGGAAUAUUGCGCAAUGGGCGAAAGCCUGACGCAGCGACGCCGCGUGAGGGAUGACUGUCUUCGGAUCGUAAACCUCUGUCAGCAGGGAAGAACGGUCACUGUGCUAAUCAGCAGUGAAUUGACGGUACCUGCAAAGGCAGCACCGGCUAACUCCGUGCCCGCAGCCGCGGUAAUACGGAGGGUGCGAGCGUUAAUCGGAAUUUCUGGGCGUAAUGCGGUCGUAGGCGGUAUGUCAAGUCAAGGGUGAAAUCCCCGCGCUCAACGUGGGAACUGCCUUUGAAACUGGUGAACUGGAGUGUGUGAGAGGAUAGUGGAAUGCCAGGUGUAGGAGUGAAAUCCGUAGAUAUCUGGAGGAACAUCAGUGGCGAAGGCGACUAUCUGGCACAUAACUGACGCUGAGGAGCGAAAGCGUGGGUAGCAAACAGGAUUAGAUACCCUAGUAGUC